GAUGAACGCUGGCGGCGUGCUUAACACAUGCAAGUCGAACGAGAAGUGAAGACGGAAACCUUCUGGCGGAGGGCUUUAUUUCGAGUGGCGGACGGGUUAGUAACGCGUGGGUAACCUGCCUCAUACAGGGGGAUAACAGUUGGAAACGACUGUUAAUACUGCAGAAGACCACGGCACCGCAUGGUUCGGGGGUAAACACUCCGGUGGGAUGAGAUGGACCCGCGUUAGGUUAGCCGGGUGGCGGGGUAACGGCCAACCAAAGCGACGGUCGAGAGCCGAGAGGAGAGGAGGCCAGGCCACAUCGGGAAUGAGACCCGGACUAAAAUCCUACGGGAGGGAGCAGUGGGGAAUAUUGCACAAUGGGGGCAAAUCUGAUGAAGCGACGCCGCGUGAGUGAAGAAGUAUGUCGGUAUGUAAAGCUGUAUGAGAAGGGACGAAAAUGACGGUAACGGGGUAAGAAGCACCGGCUAACUACGUG
rnacentral:rRNA from 1 species